AUGUGGGUGGCAGCGUUGCAGCGUCAAGGGAAGGAAAGUCAAAUAAUCGCACGUGAAGCAAAUAACUGGACGACGGCGAGUUGACGAUGGCUAUAAGCGACAAACAGUGCGACGGUCAAGUGGUCAGUGCGUUGUAGGGACAUUUACCAUACAUGCAUAUGUACUUGCAUAAACAAAAGUUUGCUGUUGCAACAACAACUUACUGCCAGUUGGUAUGCGUUAAGAGCAAAAGCAACAAUAGCAACAAAUAAUAAUAAUAAUAAAAAUAACAACAACAAGAACAAUAAUAAUAAUAAUAAUAAUAAUGAUGAUGAUGACAAGAAAAGCAGCACCAAAGACAAUAAUUACAACAACAACUACUACAACUACAAAAACAACAAUAAUUAUAUUAACAUAAAUAAUAACAACAACAAUAAUAAUAAUAACAACAAUAUAAGCAACAACAAAAACAAUAAUUAUAAUAACAACAACAACCACACCAACCAGCCAACAAUAAAAAGAAUAACCAAAAAUAAUAUUUACGACAACAACAACAAAUUUUGUGUUGCACUCACACUCAUUGGUGGCAACUACUUAACAGCAUUUCGAGCUUUCGCCACUGACGCCAACGGCGGUACUGGCGGCUGCUGCUGCUAUUGAUGGCUGACGUCCGUUGGCGGCAACUUGUUAUUUGUACAGCCCAGUGCUUCGUUGAGUGCAUCGAUAGUAAUUGAAUGUUGUGGCGCUCAGUGCUCUCUAUCGAUUCGCAGUCGUUUGGUUGGCGACAAUUGCCGGCAAAUGCGAAGAUGACAACGGCGCUUCAGUUGUUGCAGCUGCCAUUAUGGGAACAGAAACAACUAUGUCUAAUCGAAAUAAUGAUUCUUCAUCAUCAAGAAAGUAACAUAAGGAAGUAUUUGAACGAGGCAAAUAGUUGUAUUCAUAAAACAAGAAAACGCAAGCAAAACCGUUAACUUCGGUUGCACCUCCGGUCUGAGCAAUCGGAGCAAUAUGUUCAGAAAUUGAAACUUUAGAUAAUAAUAUUUGGCAAAUAUCGAGAAGAUGCCUUGUCACAUAAAAAAGCUUUCCAUACAAGCACUUGAUUCCGAUUUCAAAAACUAUGGGACUAAUUGGAGUAUAUAAAGAAAGAGAGACGCACAUGUCGGAGUGGACUCAGCUCGUCACGCUGCACAUUUGUACAUGGUUCAUUUCAAGGUUCCCUACUUAAAAUAACUCAAAAACUUCAAAUUUGGUGGGAAUUGUUUACUAUCAUUCGAAAGAAUAUUCUUUGGCAUUUAUUUUUUGAAGAAAUCUGUCAGUUAAGCUCUGAUUAACUUAACCAAGCCUCCUUUUUUCGAAAAGCACUUUUUUUAAACAGAACUACUAAUGUACAUA